rnacentral:rRNA from 1 species
CCUACGGGAGGCUGCAGUGGGGAAUAUUGGACAAUGGGCGAAAGCCUGAUCCAGCCAUGCCGCGUGUGCGAAGAAGGCCUUCGGGUUGUAAAGCACUUUCAGUGGGGAAGAAAGCCUUGGGGCUAAUACCCUCGAGGAAGGACAUCACCCACAGAAGAAGCACCGGCUAACUCCGUGCCAGCAGCCGCGGUAAUACGGAGGGUGCGAGCGUUAAUCGGAAUUACUGGGCGUAAAGCGCGCGUAGGCGGUCUGAUAAGCCGGUUGUGAAAGCCCCGGGCUCAACCUGGGAACGGCAUCCGGAACUGGCAGGCUAGAGUGCAGGAGAGGAGGGUAGAAUUCCCGGUGUAGCGGUGAAAUGCGUAGAGAUCGGGAGGAAUACCAGUGGCGAAGGCGGCCUUCUGGACUGACACUGACGCUGAGGUGCGAAAGCGUGGGUAGCAAACAGGAUUAGAUACCCUUGUAGUC